UUAAGUUCAGCGGGUAUUCCUACCUGAUCCGAGGUCAACCUGUGGAAAGAAUUGCUUCUUUUAACGGCCGGAACCCGCCGCACGACCUGAGCGUAAUGUUGCUACUGCGCUCGGUGUUGCUAGCGAGCCCGCCACUGGUUCAGGGCCUGCGGGCAGCCGCAGGUCCCCAACACAAGCGGGGCUUGAUGGUUGAAAUGACG
rnacentral:misc_RNA from 1 species